UCAAGUGCCGCCAUAGUGGGAGCCCAGGCAGAGGAGGUGCCGAGAGCCAGCGAGGGCUCUGAGGACUGCCAGCACGCUGUCACCUCUCACUGGGAUUGCAUAUAGAGCAGAGCCAGCCAUCAGGAAGAGGAGCAUUAAUAUGGAUAGAUCCACUUCUUCUGAACAAGUGUUUAAUGAUCAUAGGUAAACUCCUGGGAUUCUGAGGUCUGAGGCCAUGCAAAAGACACCUUGGAAAAUCAUAGUCAACAUCUGGACCUCUGUGUUCUUCUCUGCAAAAUGAGGAGGCUGAUUAAAUGCUGUUGAAGACUCCUUUGAAGCUCUAACAGUUUAUCAUUGAGGGUAUUUUGAGCAAUGCACUAGAUCCAUGAUGGGGCAGAAGGUGGAGGGUCGGAAAGAAUUGUGAGAGUUGGCCUCAAUGUUCUGUGAGGAAAAAGACCCCCAGCUGCUCUGCUCCCAUGCUUGUAAGCUGCUGGACUAGGAUCUUCGAGAGCCUAGAGGGCCCACAACAUCAGGGCCCCCCUGGUGGCUAUGAUCAACACUGUGAGCAGCUAACAUUUAUUGGGUAAUUGCUAUGUGACUGGCAUGGGUUUUUCUGCAAAUAUUCUUACAAGGUCAGGUAUAUUUCAUAUUUAACAGAUGAAGAAAUUAAGGAAGAGAGGGUAAUUAAAUUUCUUGAAUUUCUACUGCUUUUAAGUGGCAAAGCCUGGAGCACAGCUUUCUCUGACUAUACGAUGGUGUCCAAUAAAGACAUUGAUUACUGGUCCUCAUAUUAAUAUCAGGUCUCUCCAUGAACUUCUCAGCACUUUUCCUAGGAUCUUAGAUCCCUUUUGGCAUGGACAGUCUGAAAGUGCAUUUAAAGUAUUUUCAGAAUGUGAAAAUCUUCAUCAGUUCAAGUCCACAAACUUCCCCGUCUCUCAUGCUCACUAUUCUCUCUCAUCCUUCUUGACUGGGAUGUUAGGAGGGAAGAAAAUACAUCCAAAUAGAAAUCUUACCUGGGGGGAAAAGAUAAAGCACAACCUCCCCUCCUAGAGGUUGUGCAUUUCGAAGCAUUCCAUCUUUUUUGACUACUCAGGAGAGAGGAGGUUUUCACUACUUGGUAAUGAUUUGUCAUUGACCUGAGGCAAUUAUUGGCAAAACAAGGCCUUGAGCUAUUUCCAAGUCUCUCAAAACGUUUGGGUGAAAAACAGCAAAGGAGCCCUGUGAGGAUGUUGAGAUGGUUUAUUAUGUGGUUUGCUUAAGGUCACAGAGUCACUACACUGCAGAGCUAGCUGUGGAAUGCUGAGGCCCCAGGGGCUCCCUGUGCAACAGGCCUGGAUCCAACUCCUAACUCUUUCCUGCCUGGGCAUUCUCCCCUCCCUCACAGACACUGUCAAACAGCACCAGCCCAAGGCCCGAGUGUCCUUUGCAAAAUUCAGCUAACUCCGAACUCUCACUUGAUGCUCUGCUCAUGGGUGGAGAGAAAACAGGUGGAACCGCUUCUCUAUCAACUGAGUGAAAACCAGAUGAAGAAUAUCAGAUAGAUACUGGGGAAAAACAAUAUCUAACUAUUUCGUUAAAAUAGAUCUUCCCCUCUUUAUUGCUCUUAGUUUAUGAAAUUUAGAAAACACAUACAGGCAACAAGAAGUGCGUUCAAUGGACUCAGUAGAUUUGUGGAAUGCAAAGGAGCCUGAAGCUAGGUUUCAACCCGCCACUGCCACUUAACUCAGUCUCCUAAUAAUCGUCAGAAGGGAAAUUUUCACUCUGCCUGGAAUUUUCACUCCAGGCUCCAUGUUCUUGGAAUCACAUACAGCUCUAUGGACCCGGAAACCACACCUCCAUCCCGGAGCGUGAUGAACCUGUGCUAUUGCUAAAGCUCAGGCUUUAACACUGUCUGUGGAUCUCUGCAUCCUCUGCCAAUAAGGAAACUCUCUAUCUGGAAUUGCCAGCUGGUGCCUGGUUAUCUCAGCUCCAUGCAUCUGCUGUGAGGACCUGGAGGCGGCGAUGGGGCCGGGGCAGGGGAUGGGGAGAGUGGGGGUGCUCCUCUUGCUGUACAGAGGCUGCAGCUUUCACCAAAGCUGCAUGCCCCUCACCAGGGGGACUGCCCAUUUUACUCCCACUGGGCAUGUGAGGCUUCCUGGAAUUCAGCUUCAGUUCUUAUCUACCUUUUAAGACAUUUAUAUCUGCUAUUGUAAUUGCACCAUUUUUUGAAAAGUUAGUUGUUUUCAUAAGAGAUGAAAGCUCAGUAGAAGCUUUGUAAAAAUUCAGUGAUUCCAUUAAGGUGACUCUGAAAGCAAAAGGGAGGAAAAAAGAGUAAAAGAAAGAAAAUUAAAAGAUGGAGGGAAGGACAAUAUAAAGAAGACCACUGUUGUUCAAAAAUAUGUAAGCAAGGUAACUUGUAAAGACUAAAGAAAAAUUCAAAGUUUAACAUGAAUCAUCAUUUGAGUUACUUUAAAA
rnacentral:lncRNA from 1 species